ACCACCCAUCAGUCACAAAAUGGCUGCAAAAUAGAUAAACACCAGAUCCCCUUGUGCCAUGGACGCCUUAUUUCACUCUUCUGUAUUUCUUCUUCUUCUUAUUAUUAUUAUUAUUAUUGACAUUUACUUGUUUAAACCAUGGAAAGCACAUAAUUAACUUUUUUUUAUUUUCCUAUGAUACGAUUUUCUGUGGAAUCAAAAUACUGUUCUGUCUGGUUUAACUGUUGUUUCUAGAUAGUUCUCUAGUCUCGUUCAUGCGUUUCCUCUCCCCUGUUAAUCUACACAAGCAAUAGACAACACAAAUAACUGCUCAUAAUAUCUAGUGUAUCUCAUUAUUGGAGGGGGCUGUGGGCAUCAGUAGGUUGCAUUCAGAAGAAUCAGACGGUUGCUAUAGGAGACGGUUGGAACAUAAGAAGGUGACAUCAUUGUCACAUCGUCAUAGAGAUUUAAUAAAUACACCAAACGGACAGCAGGUCGCUGGGGAGAGGACAAGUGUUCCCCAUUCCAAGGGAAUCCUCAUCGACCAAUCAACACUCUGUAUCUGUCCUGGCUGUCAUCUUGCUUUGUGACAUCACUGUGUUUUUAAUGUGUAGCUAUGUCAGAGAGGAGACUGAGUUAAAGGAUUAGCUUCAGAAAAAAAUACCUGUGGUUCAUGUAGGUUUAGGAGACUCUGCUUUAUUCUCCCUCUAGUUGACAAUCUACUCCGGUAGUUUCUCUGCUUUUAUUGGAGGAGUUUGUUGACAGUGAUUGGCUGACUGCCAGGGUGACAGUGAUUGGCUGACUGCCAAGGUGACAGUGAUUGGCUGACUGCCAGGGUGACAGUGAUUGGCUGACUGCCAGGGUGACAGUGAUUGGCUGACUGCCAGGGUGACAGUGAUUGGCUGACUGCCAGGGUGACAGUGAUUGGCUGACUGCCAGGGUGACAGUGAUUGGCUGACUGCCAGGGUGACAGUGAUUGGCUGACUGCCAGGGUGACAGUGAUUGGCUGACUGCCAGGGUGACAGUGAUUGGCUGACUGCCAGGGUGACAGUGAUUGGCUGACUGCCAGGGUGACAGUGAUUGGCUGACUGCCAGGGUGACAGUGAUUGGCUGACUGCCAGGGUGACAGUGAUUGGCUGACUGCCAGGGUGACAGUGAUUGGCUGACUGCCAGGGUGACAGUGAUUGGCUGACUGCCAGGGUGACAGUGAUUGGCUGACUGCCAGGGUGACAGUGAUUGGCUGACUGCCAGGGUGACAGUGAUUGGCUGACUGCCAGGGUGACAGUGAUUGGCUGACUGCCAAGGUGACAGUGAUUGGCUGACUGCCAGGGUGACAGUGAUUUGGCUGACUGCCAGGGUGACAGUGAUUGGCUGACUGCCAGGGUGACAGUGAUUUGGCUGACUGCCAGGGUGACAGUGAUUGGCUGACUGCCAGGGUGACAGUGAUUGGCUGACUGCCAGGGUGACAGUGAUUGGCUGACUGCCAGGGUGACAGUGAUUGGCUGACUGCCAGGGUGACAGUGAUUGGCUGACUGCCAGGGUGACAGUGAUUGGCUGACUGCCAGGGUGACAGUGAUUGGCUGACUGCCAGGGUGAAACAACCCAAUACAUAUUUUAUAACCUUAUUUGACCGUUUCAGAAUUGGUGGUGUAAGGAACGAUUUACGUAACAAGGACUUUUUGUACUUGUUCUGCUGCAAAACAUAAGAUUUGCCAGAAAAAGAGGAGUGGAUUGUUUUAUUUUUGUUUACUUAAUUUUUUUUUAUUAAAGAAAUUAAUUUGCUGGGAAAAAAAUAUUUAUUUUUUACUUCCCCCCCCUUUCAAUCUGUCGAUAUUCCGUAGUAGAAUUAAUUUGUUGGAAGUCAAAAGGUUAGUUUUAUUUUCCCACGGCUUGUCUUCUUUUAUUUUAUUUUUUAGAUAAAUCCGUAUUGAUCAACAUUGACGUUUUGUUUUUUGGUGUAUUAUGUGUUAAGGUUGUGUAACGUGCCGAGUGUUUUUCCACGUAGUCUUUUUGAGCGGAACUGUUUUUAGUGACCUAGUGUGGAUAGGAUGGCAGGAAGAGUGAUUGAUUGGCGCAGCUGUAAAUAUGUUUCCUUCACUUAGCAAGAAGUUUAAAAAAAAUAAUAAUAAUUAAAAAAAAACAUUUAAAAUUAAAAAAAAAAAAAAAAAACAUUUGAAAAAAAAAUUGCUUUUUAUAUAAUUAUCUGUAACAAAAUUGGCUUUUGUAUGUUUGUCAUCUCGGUUGCUUUGUCUAGAUAUAAAAAAUAAUAAUAAUAAUAAUAAUUAAAAAGGAAAUGUCUUCCUGCUCUUGUCUUGUUCUCACUUCUGUUUUUCCCUCAUUGACUAUAAUGCAGAACCCUUCUUCUUGAUAUCGUUGUUAUGGUUAUAAUGCCCAAGUUGCGUUGGCAGGCAAGGAGGUCAGGAGGUUGAACCAAACAUAGAAAUAGAAUCUAGAAUAGAUUGUUGAAUAGAUUAUAUUUCUAUGGAAGCAACAGCUAGCUGAUGGAGAUUUGAGCAAUCUGAUCUGACAGAUGUUUGGGUAUUAAACUGUUUGUGAAUAUUACUAUGGAAAAUAAAACUUUUUAGUGCAUCCUUUUCUUACAA